GGUUUCUGGAGAACAAGGUGAUAAAUAAAAUUAUUUCCUUACUCCAUACUCUAUGGCUAACAAAUUUAGAAGAUGAGAGAAAACAAGAAUCAAUCCCAGGAGAAUAGGAAACUUCUUCCUAUUCAGCUUGUAAAUGAACUUCUGUGUGUUUUGGUCGCGUUAAUCAAACAUAUUUGGUAAGUUCUUUGUUUUGUUUUUUGUUUUAGUUGGUUUGCAUUUCAUCCUCUGUCCAGUUUGAACUUUAUUAAGGUCAGGAGGCUUUCUUUAUCUCUGCUAGAUGGCUUUUUUCACCUCCAGUUUGUGUGUUGAGUAGUGAAUUUGGAUGGGAUUUCUUUGACAGGAGGAUUUAGGUGUUUGAAUACACGGGGAAUAAAGUAAAAUGUGAUGCCCAGUUGCUGUCAAAUCCUUCGUCCCUAAUUCCUGGCCAUUCUGACAGCAGGGAUUAAGAGCUGUAGUGAUGGUUUGCAUGGCACUCGUGUUUUCCUUUGCCAGGACUAAUGUAGAUCUGGCCAAGCUGAGUGGGUUGUUCAGCACCCUCAGCUCUGUGCUGCAAUACUGUGCUGUUGUUGUGGAGGCUUUUAGGGAGAUGAGGCAUUACACAGUUAAUGAGAGCGUCCUCUCCAGCAGGGAGCUGCUGCUGCUGCACACGUGGAGCCUUGUCAGCAAAGAGCUGCAGCUGCAGGAGGACCUGCGGGCCCUGGCUCAGAAGGACUGAAACAAAGAAUUGCUCAAAAAUAUUAAAGAACAAACCUCAAGCCUCAUCUCGUGUGUAUCGUCACACUCAGAAAAAGAACGGGGUGGAAGAAGAUGACCCUGCUGCAGACGUGGAAGUGCCUGAGCUGGAGAAAUGCAGAGAACAUCUGAAUUCCAUCCUUGCCCACUGGGACCCUGUUUUCCCAGCACCACCCUCCACACACGGAGGGGAGACCCUCAGAGCCGGUGAAGGUGGGGGUGAGGCAGUGGCUGUCACCUCUGCAUCUGUUCACAUUGUCACUGCGUGGCGUGAGGUCCCUGGCUGGGCAGAGCCCCUCGGGGAGCAGGACGUGUCCCCAGCACCGAGGUGGCUGCGGAACCGCGUCCUGCCACACCCGGCGGCCGCGCGGGAGAUGUUCAGGGAUGAGACACUGAGGAACAGCCUCUUCAAGCUUUGCACCCGCCCUGCCAGGCCAGCAGCACCUCGGCUGGGCUCUCCAGGCAGCUCGGUGGGCUCAGUUCCAUCGUGCUGCAGCUAAUGGAGGAGCAGGGCCUGUUCAGCACCUUCCACGAGCUUCUGAAAUCUCUGUGCCUAUCAGCAGCGGUGGAAGAGGAUGCGGACAAGACAGCUGUUUCUGUAUUCCUGACUUCCAUUUACAUUGGAGACAUGUGGCUUGGAGCACAGGAGCCAGAUAUGUUACUUACUCAUGUCAGAUUGAUCUGCACUAGUGCAGAUUAUGAGUUACAGGGUGACUCAGACACUCGGAAACAAGGGGAAGAAACUGUUAUGUCUCUUUGCAAAACAAUUUGGCUCCAUCAGGGCAUUAAUUCAGGGAACUAACACUUCACCUUUAAUGUUCUUCUCUGCUCUGUCCUCAUCACCGUGAGAGCCUCCUGAGCUGUUUUCAUAUAGACCUACCUAGUUUUGUCAGAAAAAAAUAGUAUUUUAUUACUGGGUGCAAACUCGGGGGAAGAUUUUAUUCAACAUCUCACACUGGGGCAUUAAAGCUCCAAUGUCCCUUUUCUUGAACAGUUUGAGAGACAAUAUUACUUUACUGUAAGUUUUAUUACAGGCAUUUUUAUCUUUUUGAAGAACAAAAAAGAUUGUUUGUGCAUGUGUCUCAGCAGCGGGCCCAGCACAGCCCGGCAGGUUUGGAAUUUUCUUUGCUAUGCUGCAGGUGUAUUCAAGACAGCAUUCCUCUUUGUUUGACAGAAGGAAGACAAAAAAAUAAUUCUUAGCAAAAAAGGAUGUUUUCUUUCCUGUCUAUCAAGCAGCCAAAUACCACCAGCUAGCUAUCCAUAUUUUAAAAUCAGCUGGAGAACUUGCAUCCCAGGGACCUGGGGACUGUCUGAAGAGAGCUCUGGCCAGCUCUGUUAGCUGUUAAGCACCCCUGGAACAGCAGAGAAGAGGCUGGAAGAGUUCCAGUGCCCCAGUACCCAGAGACCCAUCUGGUCAGGGCAGGUCACUCUUAGGCAGUGCUGCGACUGACCUGGGCCCAGGCAAAAUCACAGAACUGGAGCUGAGCUAAGACACAACUGAAAAAGUCUUUCAAAGGACAGGGAAGCUAAUUCCAGACUCUGUGGGUUUGGACAAAGACAAGUGCAGUGACAAUGUCUGAUAUAAUUUUCUGAGGGAGGUGUGAUUGGAAGGAUGAAGGCAGCUGCACAUCUGUACUUUACUGUGAGGGUGCUCGUGCCCCACAUCCAAAUACUGAAUGGAGCUCCUCAUGGUAAGAGAUCUGUCUGGAGCCAGCAGGGAGCCCCGGGGCCCUGGACUGAGCCUGUCCCAGAGCAAGAAACAGGGAUGAGGGAUGAGACAUGCAGAUCUUCCAACUCUCUGGGCAUCCAGCUUGGGUUUCUCUCCAACUUUACACUGUCUGGUAUGAAGGUGAUAGCCAGAAGAAUUGUGUUGUGCAUGGCUAUCAGCAUCCUGUGCCAGCCUUGGCCAGGAACCAUCUCUGGCCACAAACCCUUAUUUUUCUGUGUCAUUUUGGAUGUUAAUACACAUCAUUGAAGCAAAUGUUAAUGCUCUGCAUCCCAGCAGUGUGAUCAUCAGCUGCCUUGGCAGGCAGAUGGGUUUGAAAUCAGUGGUCCUGUGCUCCAGACCUUUUGUCUUAUUUCUGUGGGAUCGUGCAGUGCUGACAAGAGGGACUGGGACAUGGAUACCUCAGGGCAGGGCUUGUACAGGCAUCAGCCUUCCCCGCUCUCCCAGAGGCACCCAUCAAAGCUGGCACCAAAUCGCUCUGUAUUGCAGAGACGUGUGGGCUGCAGUCGGACCGUGGAUUCCAUCCAGGACCUCUCCGUGUCUCAGGAUUCCACUGUGGCCUAAGUAGAGAGAGCUGUUGCGUGGCCUUUGGAAGGCACUGUGGCAGUGCCUGGUUUGUGUGCAGAUGUGCAGGUAAGAACAAGGGACUCUGCUGGAGGGCGGAGGGCCCUUGCCAGGAGAGUUAACCCUUGGAGUUACGCAGUGGGGGAAGAGAUGGGUGUCAUGCACGGCCAAAAUUGCAUCAACGCUGCAUCAAAAGAGGUGGGGGAAUGGGGGGGAUUCUGCCUCUCUCCCCCACCCGGGUGAGACCCCACCUGCAGAGCUGCCCCAGCCCUGGGCUCCAGCACAAGAAGUAUGUGGAGCUGUUGGAACAAGCGCGGAGGAGGCCAUGGAGGUGCUCUGAAGGGUAGAGCCCCUCUGCUCUGGAGCCAGGCUGGGAGAGCUGGGGGUGCUCACCUGGAGAGGAGAGGGAUCCAGGGAGAGCUC